rnacentral:rRNA from 1 species
GAUGCAGUCGACGAACUCUGGUAUUGAUUGGUGCUUGCAUCAUGAUUUACAUUUGAGUGAGUGGCGAACUGGUGAGUAACACGUGGGAAACCUGCCCAGAAGCGGGGGAUAACACCUGGAAACAGAUGCUAAUACCGCAUAACAACUUGGACCGCAUGGUCCGAGUUUGAAAGAUGGCUUCGGCUAUCACUUUUGGAUGGUCCCGCGGCGUAUUAGCUAGAUGGUGGGGUAACGGCUCACCAUGGCAAUGAUACGUAGCCGACCUGAGAGGGUAAUCGGCCACAUUGGGACUGAGACACGGCCCAAACUCCUACGGGAGGCAGCAGUAGGGAAUCUUCCACAAUGGACGAAAGUCUGAUGGAGCAACGCCGCGUGAGUGAAGAAGGGUUUCGGCUCGUAAAACUCUGUUGUUAAAGAAGAACAUAUCUGAGAGUAACUGUUCAGGUAUUGACGGUAUUUAACCAGAAAGCCACGGCUAACUACGUGCCAGCAGCCGCGGUAAUACGUAGGUGGCAAGCGUUGUCCGGAUUUAUUGGGCGUAAAGCGAGCGCAGGCGGUUUUUUAAGUCUGAUGUGAAAGCCUUCGGCUCAACCGAAGAAGUGCAUCGGAAACUGGGAAACUUGAGUGCAGAAGAGGACAGUGGAACUCCAUGUGUAGCGGUGAAAUGCGUAGAUAUAUGGAAGAACACCAGUGGCGAAGGCGGCUGUCUGGUCUGUAACUGACGCUGAGGCUCGAAAGUAUGGGUAGCAAACAGGAUUAGAUACCCUGGUAGUCCAUACCGUAAACGAUGAAUGCUAAGUGU